GAUGAACGCUGGCGGCGUGCCUAACACAUGCAAGUCGAACGAAGCACAUACGACGGAACUCUUCGGAGGGAAGAUGUAUGUGACUGAGUGGCGGACGGGUGAGUAACGCGUGGGUAACCUGCCCUAUACAGGGGGACAACAGUUGGAAACGACUGCUAAUACCGCAUAAGCCCACGGCUCGGCAUCGAGCAGAGGGAAAAGGAGCAAUCCGCUUUGAGAUGGCCUCGCGUCCGAUUAGCUAGUUGGUGAGGUAACGGCCCACCAAGUCGACGAUCAGUAGCCGGACUGAGAGGUUGAACGGCCACAUUGGGACUGAGAUACGGCCCAAACUCCUACGGGAGGCAGCAGUGGGGAAUAUUGCACAAUGGGGGAAACCCUGAUGCAGCGACGCCGCGUGAGGGAAGACGGGUCCUCUGGAUUGUAAACCUCUGUCUUCGGGGACGAAAACGAGACGGUACCUGAGGAGGAAGCCAACGGCUAAACUACGUG
rnacentral:rRNA from 1 species